rnacentral:tRNA from 1 species
GCGACCGUGGCGGAAUUGGUAUACGCGCAAGACUAAGGAUCUUGUGGUCUUCAGGCCGUGGGGGUUCGAGUCCCCCCGAUCGCA